GGCUUGGUGAGGGGAAAGGCAGAUUUUCCAGAUUUCUUUGAGGUUCUACUAGAAACACUUCCUCAAGACAGAGUUUAUGAAGAAGACCUGUCUAUUGCCAAGGUAGCCUCAGAAACAAGGGAAAAUGAUGCCCCUGAGGAUAAAGUGCAUUGGGCAUGGCUUCUUAGGAACAGAGCAGAGGAGCAAGGCAUGCCUAUUGCCAAGGUGGCAUCACAAACUAGUGAAAGCGGGAUGAGGCAGGUUGCACAGGUGGCUGAUAUGAGCGCUGUACGGACAUCUUCCUAAAAGUGUGGAAAGAGGGGAUUCAAACUGUGGAAGGAGCCUCGGGGUCCAUCGAAAAUAAAGAAGACGUGGUCUAUGUAUAUGAUGGAAUAUUACUCAGCCAUUAGAAACAACAAAUACCCACCAUUUGCUUCAACGUGGAUGGAACCGGAGGGUAUUAUGCUGAGUGAAAUAAAUCAAUCAGAGAAGGACAAACAUUAAAUGGUCUCAUUCAUUUGGAGAAUAUAAAAAAUAGUGAAAGGGAAUAAAGGGGAAAGGAGAAAAAAUAAGUGGGAAAUAUCAGAAAGGGAGACAGAACAUGAAAGACUCCUAACUCUGGGAAAUGAACAAAGGGUGGUGGAAAGGGAAGUGGAUAGGGGGUGGAGGUGACUGGGUGGCGGGCACUGAGGGGGCACUUGACGGGAUGAGCACUGGGUGUUAUUCUAUAUGCUGGCAAAUUGAACACCAAUAAAAAAUAAAUUUAUAAAAUAAAAUAAAUAAAAUAAAAUAAAAAGAGGGGCUUCCUUCCUAUUCCGUCCUCUUCACUUAUAUGAGUGACAAAACAGGCAGAAAAUGGAGUCAGGUCUCCUGUUCUCCCACCCAAGUCA
rnacentral:lncRNA from 1 species